rnacentral:tRNA from 1 species
CAGUAGGUAGUUUAAAUGUUAAAAUAUUAGUUUUGGGGAUUAUUGAUGAAUAUAUAUUUUCUACUGA